CAGGUGCCGGAUAUCAUCUCGUGAAAUUCUAUGGCAGUACUGGCUGUGCCUGAGAAACCUCCUGCCACUCAAGCCCAGCAAGUCUUAUGAAGCAAGCUGCCUACAGAAAUGUCCAUGUGUCAGGAAACUGAAGCUGGCUCAUGGUCAGCAGCCAGCAAGCUACAAAGGGCUUCCAACAGCCCAUGAAGCACUGAGUCCUGCCAAAAGCCACGUGCAUGAGCUUAGAAGAGCUUCAUCCUCCAGGCUAGGAAAGAGACAGUCGGUGUGCAGCAAGAGAAAAGAGAGGAGGAAACAUGUGGAAAGACCCAAAGAAUGAAGACACAAGAGCAUGCCUGAAUGCAAUGGGAAGUAGAUCAGUUGACCUUUGCUGAAUAACAAGGUGGACCUAAAACUGGGUGACUUGAAACACCCCAGUGACAAAGUAAGACCCUGCCUCAAGAAGAAGAAGGAAGAAGAAAGACAAAAAGAAAGAGAAGGAGGAGGAGGAGGAGAAGGAGAAAGAAGGAGAAGAAGGAGAAGGAGAAGAAGAAGAAGAAGAAGAAGAAGAAGAAGAAGAAGAAGAAGAAGAAGAAGAAGAAGAAGAAGGGAAGAAGAAGAAGAAGAAGGAGAAGAAGAGGAAGAAGAAGAAGAAGAGAAGAAGAAGAAAAGGAGGAGGACACUUUAUUGCAUGUAAAUUAAAAGUAAAUUUACAGGAAUUAUUUAUUAUUUGCAGUGCAUGCUCUUUAUUCUUGAGCCAAAGAGACAUAGCUUAACUAAAGCUAACUAUGAUCAGUGAUGUCACAUAAUGGCAAUUGUGACAGUGAGUUUGUGGCCCUUUAUCCCUUAUCACCCUUCCAAUCACAUCGCUGUGAUUGAGUGCAGACUGCUUCCUUUGUUUGUUUUCAUGCUCCCCCUUUGAUUACUCUCUCUUUUCUGAGCUGUAUUCUCCUUCCCUGUAAGUAAAGUACGACCUGUAAAACACAAGAGGAAAUGGGAG
rnacentral:lncRNA from 10 species